UGGUUAAGCUACUAAGAGCACACGGAGGAUGCCUAGGCGCUAGGAGCCGAUGAAGGACGUGGCGAACAACGAAACUGCCUCGGGGAGCUGUAAGCAAGCUUUGAUCCGGGGGUGUCCGAAUGGGGAAACCCAGCUGGGGUAAUUUCCAGUUACUCAUAACUGAAUACAUAGGUUAUGUAGAGGCAUACCAGGGGAACUGAAACAUCUAAGUACCCUGAGGAAGAGAAAACAAUAGUGAUUCCGUCAGUAGCGGCGAGCGAACGCGGAGAAGCCCAAACCAGAGAGCUUGCUCUUUGGGGUUGUGGGACGUCUCACAUGGAGUUACAAAGGAACCGGUUAAGCGAAGAGGUCUGGAAAGGCCCGCCAAAGAAGGUAAAAGCCCUGUAAUUGAAAGUCUGUUCCCUCCGAGACGGAUCCCGAGUAGUGCGGGGCACGUGAAACCCCGUAUGAAUCCGGCAGGACCAUCUGCCAAGGCUAAAUACUUCCUAGCGACCGAUAGUGAAGCAGUACCGUGAGGGAAAGGUGAAAAGCACCCCGGAAGGGGAGUGAAAUAGAACCUGAAACCGUGUGCUUACAAAAAGUCAGAGCCCGUUUUAGGGGUGAUGGCGUGCCUUUUGUAGAAUGAACCGGCGAGUUACGUUCCCGUGCAAGGUUAAGGUGAAGAGCCGGAGCCGCAGCGAAAGCGAGUCUGAAUAGGGCGACUGAGUACGUGGACGUAGACCCGAAACCGGGUGAUCUACCCCUGUCCAGGGUGAAGGUGCGGUAACACGCACUGGAGGCCCGAACCCACGCAUGUUGAAAAAUGCGGGGAUGAGGUGGGGGUAGCGGAGAAAUUCCAAUCGAACUCGGAGAUAGCUGGUUCUCCCCGAAAUAGCUUUAGGGCUAGCCUCGGAAAACAGAGUCGUGGAGGUAGAGCACUGAUUGGGUGCGGGGCCCGCAAGGGUUACCAAGCUCAGUCAAACUCCGAAUGCCAUAGACUUACUUCCGGGAGUCAGACAGUGAGUGCUAAGAUCCAUUGUCAAAAGGGAAACAGCCCAGACCAUCAGCUAAGGUCCCCAAGUGUGUGUUAAGUGGGAAAGGAUGUGGAGUUGCACAGACAACCAGGAUGUUGGCUUAGAAGCAGCCACCAUUGAAAGAGUGCGUAAUAGCUCACUGGUCGAGUGACUCUGCGCCGAAAAUGUAACGGGGCUAAACACACCACCGAAGCUAUGGCUUGAUGCUAUGCAUCAGGGGUAGGGGAGCGUUGUAUAAGGGUUGAAGGUGUACCGUAAGGAGCGCUGGACAUUAUACAAGUGAGAAUGCCGGUAUGAGUAACGAAAAGAUCAGUGAGAAUCUGAUCCGCCGAAAGCCUAAGGGUUCCUGAGGAAGGCUCGUCCGCUCAGGGUAAGUCGGGACCUAAGGCGAGGCCGAAAGGCGUAGUCGAAGGACAACAGGUCGAAAUUCCUGUACCACCGUAAGCCGUUAUGAGCAAUGGGGGGACGCAGUAGGGUAGUGACGC
rnacentral:rRNA from 1 species